GCCAGACUCCUACGGGAGGCAGCAGUGGGGGAUAUUGCACAAUGGGGGAAACCCUGGUGCAGCGACGCCGCGUGGGCGAAGAAGUAUUUCGGUAUGUAAAGCCCUAUCAGCAGGGAAGAAGAAAUGACGGUACCUGAGUAAGAAGCACCGGCUAAAUACGUGCCAGCAGCCGCGGUAAUACGUAUGGUGCAAGCGUUAUCCGGAUUUACUGGGUGUAAAGGGAGCGCAGGCGGCACGGCAAGCCUGAUGUGAAAGCCCGCGGCCCAACCGCGGGACUGCAUUGGGAACUACCGGGCUGGAGUGCCGGAGAGGUAGGCGGAAUUCCUAGUGUAGCGGUGAAAUGCGUAGAUAUUAGGAGGAACACCAGUGGCGAAGGCGACUAUCUGGCACAUAACUGACGCUGAGGAGCGAAAGCGUGGGUAGCAAACAGGAUUAGAUACCCGUGUA
rnacentral:rRNA from 1 species